UACGUAGGGUGCAAGCGUUUAAUCGGAAUUACUGGGCGUAAAGCGUGCGCAGGCGGUGAUGUAAGACAGGUGUGAAAUCCCCGGGCUUAACCUGGGAACUGCAUUUGUGACUGCAUCGCUGGAGUGCGGCAGAGGGGGGAUGGAAUUCCUGGUGUAGCAGUGAAAUGCGUAGAUAUCAGGAGGAACACCGAUGGCGAAGGCAGGUCUCUGGGCUGACACUGACGCUCAUGCA
rnacentral:rRNA from 1 species